rnacentral:rRNA from 1 species
GACGAACGCUGGCGGCGUGCUUAACACAUGCAAGUCGAACGAAAAGAGGGAAAGAGCUUGCUCUUUCCGGAAUUGAGUGGCAAACGGGUGAGUAACACGUAAACAACCUGCCUUCAGGAUGGGGACAACAGACGGAAACGACUGCUAAUACCGAAUAAGUUCCAAGAGCCGCAUGGCCCAUGGAAGAAAAGGUGGCCUCUACCUGUAAGCUAUCGCCUGAAGAGGGGUUUGCGUCUGAUUAGCUGGUUGGAGGGGUAACGGCCCACCAAGGCGACGAUCAGGAGCCGGUCUGAGAGGAUGAACGGCCACACUGGAACUGAGACACGGUCCAGACUCCUACGGGAGGCAGCAGGGGGGAAUCUUCCGCAAUGGGCGAAAGCCUGACGGAGCAACGCCGCGGGAGUGAUGACGGCCUUCGGGUUGUAAAACUCUGUGAUCCGGGACGAAAAGGCAGAGUGCGAAGAACAAACUGCAUUGACGGUACCGGAAAAGCAAGCCACGGCUAACUACGUG